rnacentral:rRNA from 1 species
AGCAGCCGCGGUAAUUCCAGCUCCAAUAGCGUAUAUUAAAGUUGUUGCAGUUAAAAAGCUCGUAGUUGAAUUUCGGGAUCAAGUCGUCGGUCGUGCCUCGGUACGCACUGGUGACAUUGGUUCCUCCCUUCUGAAGAACCUUGAUGUCAUUAAUUUGGUGUCUUGGGGAAUCAGGACUGUUACUUUGAAAAAAUUAGAGUGUUUAAAGCAGGCUCACGCUUGAAUACAUUAGCAUGGAAUAAUGAAAUAGGACGUUUGAUUCUAUUUUGUUGGUUUCUAGGAUCGACGUAAUGAUUAAUAGGGAUAGUUGGGGGCAUUAGUAUUCAAUUGUCAGAGGUGAAAUUCUUGGAUUUAUUGAAGACUAACUACUGCGAAAGCAUUUGCCAAGGAUGUUUUCAUUAAUCAAGAACGAAAGUUAGGGGAUCGAAGACGAUCAGAUACCGUCGUAGUCUUAACCAUAAACUAUGCCGACUAGGGAUCGGAUGAUGUUAAUUUUUUAAUGACUCAUUCGGCGCCUUAC